ensembl:lncRNA
CCUAAUGUGUAGGAGAUAUGCUGUGUCAGGCGGGUCUUAGUAUGGAACAAACUUGUUCUCAUAGCUUUGGCACUGUACAUGUUGUUUGGACUUGAUGGAAAUGAAGUGAAUGAACAAAUGUCAGUUGUAAUAGGUUCAGACUGAUCGGACACUGAUCACAUUUGGUGAUUUAUAGGCACUGGAGCAGAACAGGGGAGUCAUGGAGAAAAAGCAAUUAACGAAUAAAGAAAAAAAGUACCAAUAGUGAACAGGAAAAAAAUCUUCUGAAUGCUAAAGAAGAGAGAAUAAUUGAUGGUUCCAUUUUAGCUUAAUGUUAUUUCUGGAUCUCUUUUAUAAUGUGUUAUUUACUGCAUAGUUUAUAGUUGACAGAAAAUAAACAGCAUUUGCAAUAUAAUGUCUUUAGCUCUGCCAUCCACUUGCUCAUCCCCCUUGCCUGUCAAGCCGGAACUUCCACCAACAUCCGUCAAAGUCUCCUGUGAUGGAGUCUGUUUUUAAUAAGCCCAG